rnacentral:tRNA from 1 species
AGGGAAAUAGCUCAGUGGUAGAGCACAUGCUUAGCAUGCAGGAGGUCCUGGGUUCAGUCCCCAGUGACUCUA